UUGUGCUCAGUUUUGCCACAAACAUAUUAAAAUUUGAAUGAUACAGAGAUUAGCAUGGCCCCUGCACAAGGAUGACAUGCAAAUUAAUGAAGCAUUCCAUAUUUUU